rnacentral:rRNA from 1 species
AUGCACGCUGGCGGCGUGCCUCAUCCCUGCCAGUCGCGCGAACAGACGAGGAGCUUGCUCCUCUGACGUUAGCGGCGGACGGGUGAGUAACACGUGGAUAACCUACCUAUAAGACUGGGAUAACUUCGGGAAACCGGAGCUAAUACCGGAUAAUAUAUUGAACCGCAUGGUUCAAUAGUGAAAGACGGUUUUGCUGUCACUUAUAGAUGGAUCCGCGCCGCAUUAGCUAGUUGGUAAGGUAACGGCUUACCAAGGCAACGAUGCGUAGCCGACCUGAGAGGGUGAUCGGCCACACUGGAACUGAGACACGGUCCAGACUCCUACGGGAGGCAGCAGUAGGGAAUCUUCCGCAAUGGGCGAAAGCCUGACGGAGCAACGUCGCGUGAGUGAUGAAGGUCUUCGGAUCGUAAAACUCUGUUAUUAGGGAAGAACAAAUGUGUAAGUAACUAUGCACGUCUUGACGGUACCUAAUCAGAAAGCCACGGCUAACUACGUG